rnacentral:rRNA from 1 species
GGGCUUGACAUCCCACGAACCUGCCUGUAAAGGCGGGGUGCCCGCAAGGGAGCGUGGAGACAGGUGGUGCAUGGCUGUCGUCAGCUCGUGUCGUGAGAUGUUGGGUUAAGUCCCGCAACGAGCGCAACCCUCACCCCUGGUUGCCACCGGGUAAAGCCGAGCACUCGAGGGGAACUGCCAGCGUCAAGCUGGAGGAAGGCGGGGAUGACGUCAAGUCAUCAUGCCCCUUACGCCCUGGCUACACACGUGCUACAAUGGCCGGUACAAAGGGACGCGAGACCGAGAGGUGGAGCUAAUCCCAAAAAACCGGUCUAAGUUCAGAUUGCAGUCUGCAACUCGACUGCAUGAAGGAGGAAUCGCUAGUAAUCGCGCAUCAGCCCGGCGCGGUGAAUACGUUCCCGGGCCUUGUACACACCGCCCGUCACACCACGAAAGCUGUCUGUACUCGAAGUCGCUGAGA